GGGCACAUGGUGUAGUUGGUUAUCACGCUCGCUUAGCAAAUCAUUGUUGUCCGGAAUGAACUGGCGGCUUAUGGAAUCAUGCGAGAGGUGUUGGGUUCAAUUCCCAAUGUGUCCA